AACGAACGCUGGCGGCAGGCUUAACACAUGCAAGUCGAACGCCCCGCAAGGGGAGUGGCAGACGGGUGAGUAACGCGUGGGAAUCUACCCAGUUCUACGGAACAACUGAGGGAAACUUCAGCUAAUACCGUAUACGCCCUACGGGGGAAAGAUUUAUCGGAAUUGGAUGAGCCCGCGUUGGAUUAGCUAGUUGGUGAGGUAACGGCUCACCAAGGCGACGAUCCAUAGCUGGUCUGAGAGGAUGAUCAGCCACACUGGGACUGAGACACGGCCCAGACUCCUACGGGAGGCAGCAGUGGGGAAUAUUGGACAAUGGGCGCAAGCCUGAUCCAGCCAUGCCGCGUGAGUGAUGAAGGCCUUAGGGUUGUAAAGCUCUUUCAGUGGGGACGAUAAUGACGGUACCCACAGAAGAAGCCCCGGCUAACUUCGUGCCAGCAGCCGCCGUAAAAC
rnacentral:rRNA from 1 species